rnacentral:rRNA from 1 species
UACGUAGGUGGCAAGCGUUGUCCGGAUUUAUUGGGUUUAAAGGGUGCGUAGGCGGCCCUGUAAGUCAGUGGUGAAAUACUCCAGCUUAACUGGAGGGGUGCCAUUGAUACUGCAGGGCUUGAGUGGAGUCGAAGUAGGCGGAAUUGACGGUGUAGCGGUGAAAUGCUUAGAUAUCGUCAAGAACACCGAUAGUGAAGACAGUUUACUAGGCUUCUACUGACGCUGAGGCACGAAAGUGUGGGGAGCAAACAGG